AGCAGCCGCGGUAAUUCCAGCUCCAAUAGCGUAUAUUAAAGUUGUUGCAGUUAAAAAGCUCGUAGUUGAAUUUCGGGGUUAGUAGAUUGGUCGUGCCACGGGUAUGUACUGGUCUUACUGAUUCCUCCUUCCUGAUGAACCGUAAUGCCAUUAAUUUGGUGUUGCGGGGAGACUGGACUGUUACUUUGAAAAAAUUAGAGUGUUUAAAGCAGGCUUACGCUUGAAUACAUUGGCAUGGAAUAAUGAAAUAGGACGUUCGAUCCUAUUUUGUUGGUUUCUAGGAUUGACGUAAUGAUUAAUAGGGAUAGUUGGGGGCAUUAGUAUUCAAUUGUCAGAGGUGAAAUUCUUGGAUUUAUUGAAGACUAACUACUGCGAAAGCAUUUGCCAAGGAUGUUUUCUAUUAAUCAAGAACGAAAGUUAGGGGAUCGAAGACGAUCAGAUACCGUCGUAGUCUUAACCAUAAACUAUGCCGACUAGGGAUCGGAUGAUGUUAAUUUUUUAAUGACUCAUUCGGCGCCUU
rnacentral:rRNA from 1 species